AUAUAUAGAGAGGGUCAGGGUGCUGUUCGCCCUUUUCCCCGGUAGACCCGUGUCCGUGUGUGAUGGGUUUGUUUUGGCUGCUGUUGUCCCGGGCUCGGAGGCCAUGUGCGAGUGUCCAAAGAUGGCGAUGCGUUAAACCGGUUCGGAUGUUAGAAUCGGGAUGAGUUGUGGCUCCAGCUUGCAAUCGUGAAAUUUGAAGACCUUCUUAUUUAAGUAGCCAGUAAAGGCAAGUUGGAGGUCUAAAGCAACACACAAUGCUGGAGGAACUCAGCAGGCCAGGGAGCACCUGUGGGAAAGAGUGAACAGUCUACGUUUCGGGCUGGGACCUUCAGGGCUGGAAAAGUUUGCACAUGAAGAAUUAACUUGGCUCAGCAGUGCUAUAACCAGUAGGAGGAAGUCAAACUGAAGAAGCAUUAGUUCUGAUCUAUUUUGAAAAUGGCGUAAUAAACGUUUUUCUGGAAUAACAUUCUGACCAUUGCAUUUCUGAACAUGUACAAAUGUUAAGCAGGUGUGAGCAUCUUGAUUCAAGUCUAUUAUUUGCUAUUGUGGCUGAUUUGCAUUUUCACCUGGUCUGGUAUACCUGCACCCAAAUCAAGAAAUUGUAUCUCUCUGCCUUAUUAUCGUUUAUUACCUUUACUUGCACUGCUCUUUGACCCUUAAGGAAUUUAACAUUCACACUGAGUACGCCUUCGUUUUUCAAGGGUGAACGUUGCACUGUAUUCUGAUGGUUUACUCAUGAUAAAUGGGCCUUGGUUAUAUUGUCCAGACUUGAGGGUGGUGGUGUGCUAUGUGGAUCAGUUUUAAUAUGGAUGAGGAUGUUAUAGACAGCAAAAGGUUAAAUGCUGAAGUUUCAGACUAAGGCUCUUAAUCAGAACUGGAAAGGAAGGGGCAAGAAUAAGGUGCGGAUGAUGUAAGAAGUUGGGGGUGUUAGGGGGAGUGCUAAAGGACUGAAGGAAACAAGUAGGAAAGGAAUGGACCUUAGAAGAUAAAAUAAAUUGCAACAAGAAAUGUAUACAUGCCUGUAUAUUGUAGUGUACAUGAUGGGUUUAUUGUACUUUAAUAAACCUGGUAGGGGAUGGGAAGAAGCUGUUCCUAAAACAGCUUUACACUCCUGUAUCUUGAUAGCAUUAAGAACUGUGUGUGUCCUGGGUAAUGGGGGUUUGUAAUAAAUGAUACUGCCUUUUUGAGGUGUUAGCUUUGGAAAAUACCCUCUAUGCUGAGGAGUCCAGUGCCCAUGAGUUGAACUCAGAAAGGCAACGUGGUUUGUGUAGGUGGAUUGGGCCUUAAGGCCAAUUUAUACUUGUGCGUCAAAUCUACGCUGUAGCCUGACACGCAGCUCCCCAAAAAUGUAACUAUGCGUUGCGGUGACACAGACCGCACAACUGUGAUUGGUCCGCUUGGUAGCAUCGCAUUUCCUCCUACACUGCAGUAGCUUCCCAUUGGGCGACUGAAGGGCAGGGAAGGAUCUCUGGCUGUAAUGCUUUCCAUAAAGCUGUACAGACCUCUGAAAUUAUGGAGGACCCUGUGCUUGACGCCAGGUUGUAGCUAGCUGCUACAGCCUGUUGACUUCUGCAGCUCCUAAGUGACCAUGUUAGGGAACUGGAGCUGCAGCUCGAUGACCUUUGUCUGGUCAGGGAGAGUGAGGAGUUACAGGCAGGUGGUCACACCGGGGCCACGGGAGGCAGACAAGUGGGUCACAGCUAGGAGGGGAAAGAGGAAGAGUCAUGUAAUAAGAGAGUACCCCAGUGGCUAUGCCCCUCUGUUAGGGGGGACAGCUUACCUGGGGGAAGCGACAGUGGCCGUGCCUCCGGCACAGAGUGCGACCCUGUAGCUCAGAAGGGUAGGGAAAGGAAGAGGAGGGCAGUUGUAAUAGGGGACUCGAUAGUAAGGUGGUCAGAUAGGUGAUCCUGUGGGUGCAGUCCAGAGACCUGGAUGGUAGUUUGCCUCCCUGGUGCCAGGGUCUGGGAUAUUUCUGAUUGCGUCCAAGAUAUCCUGAAGUGGGAGGGUGAGGAGCCAGAGGUCGUGGUACAUAUAGGUACCAAUGACAUAGGUAGGAAAAGGGAAGAGGUCCUGAAAGGAGAAUAUAGGGAGUUGAGAAAAAGGACUGCAAAGGUAGUAAUCUCGGGAUUACUGCCUGUGCUACACGACAGAGUAGGAAUGCAAAGAGGUGGAGGAUAAAUGCAUGGCUGAGGGAUUGGAGCAGGGGGCAGGGAUUUGAAUAACUACUUUGGUUCUGUCUUCGCUAAGGAGGACAUUAAUAUUCUUCUGGAAAUAAGGGACAGAGGGUCUAGUGAGAUGGAGGAACUGAGGGAAAUACAUGUUAGUAGGGAAUUGGUGUUAGGUAAAUUAGUAAGGAUUAAAGGCGGAUAAAUCCCCAGGGGCAGAUGGUCUGCAUGUCAGAGUGCUUAAGGAAGUAGCCCAAGAAAUAGUGGAUGCAUUAGUGAUAAUUUUGCAAAACUUUGUAGAUUCUGGACUAGUUGAGGAUUGGAGGGUGGCUAAUGUAACCCCGCUUUUUAAAAAAGGAGGGAGAGAGAAACCAGGGAAUUAUAGACCGCUUAGCCUGACAUCGGUGGUGGGGAAAAUGCUAGAGUCUGUUAUCAAAGAUGUGAUAACAGAGCUGAUUACUCAAAUUUGAAAGCAGCCUCUGCAAGCCAAAUUCCUCGGCCACUUAUGGGAAUGAACAGGCCCACCGUGAAUACUAAUGCACCACCACCUCAAGGUCCACCUGGAAGCCUGGGAAAUCAAAUGCCAGAAAGCAACAUUGCAUUGCCUAAUGAUUGAUUUGUUCCUGGAAAUAUGGAUGGUCAAGCAAAUAAGAUGGGUGGACCGAUGGUUGGGAUCCCGGCUGGGUUUCCCCAUGGAAAUCAAGUUGGAGAGUUUGGUGCAAAUAAACGCCGUAGAUACUAAAUACAGACCUGAAAAUAUCCAGUAGUCUUUAGCCAUUCCACUUAUUGCCUCAUUUUUUUGCAGAUUGUAUCAGUUGUAAUGAGCAUUAGUACAUAAGGUCUUUUUGGUAUUUUACUGUUUCAAAUAUUAUUUUAACUUCCUGUUGGAUAUAUUUAGUGAAUGUGCAUGAUAUGUUUCAGUAACCUAAAAUGUACAUAAUGUAAUGCACAAGUUGCAGAGAAUUUGGACAAAAAGUCUCUUGAGCUGUUACUAUUUUGAUAUUUGUUUAGCUACUCUAGUACCAUCUUCUAGAACGAUUUUGUCUUGUGAUUUUUGUUUUUUUAAGUGAUUUCAGACAGUAAAAUUGGAAUCUCAAAUGGCCUAUGUGUUUUUAUUUUGUAUUGCUGUAGGCUUUUUGUUAAUAUGCUUGGUAUUUUAAAUAUAGAUGGGUAUUGGGAUGAGGAAAUGUGGGCAAUAGGUGGGUUUGCAUUUGAGUUUGGUGGAAUGGGCUUAAAGCCUUUUUGACAUGAAAUAGAUAAGAAUUGAGGUUCAUUGAUAAUAUGCUGUGUUGGCCUUUUUAAGGAUAUUGUGUAUUCUGGUUUUGGUAGUUCAAAAGCUCAAUAUUUCUAACUACUGACAAUAUUUAACAGGAAUAACUUGUAUUUGUGGGAUGGGGGUAUUAGAAUUAAAAUUCAUCGGGUCUCUGGAACAUAUACCUGGCUUGCAGGAAAAUAAAUCAAAUAUAAACCCACCUUUUUGAACUUGAUACCCUCGAGCUUGUUCACGGAUGCUUGGUAUACGUUGCAGUACAGGCUUUAAGAUGUAAAUAAAGUUCUUGGCAAUAAUAAAAAAAAAUGUGAUAACAGCACAUUUGGAAAGCGGUGAAAUCAUCGGACAAAGUCAGCAUGGAUUUGUGAAAGGAAAAUCAUGUCUGAUGAAUCUCAGAGUUUUUUGAGGAUGUAACUGGUAGAGUGGAUGGGGGAGAACCAGUGGAUGUGGUACAUUUGGAUUUUCAAAAGGCUUUUGACACCCAAAGUCCCACACAGGAGAUUAGUGUGCAAGCACACGGUAUUGGGGGUAAGGUAUUGAUGUGGAUAGAGAAUUGGUUUGCAGACAGGAAGCAAAGAGUGGGAAUAAACGGGACCUAUUCAGAAUGGCAGGCAGUGACUAGUGGGGUACCGCAAGGCUCGGUGCUGGGACCCCAGUUGUUUACAAUAUAUAUUAAUGAGUUAGAUGGAAUUAAAUACAGCAUCUCCAAGUUUGCAGAUAACAUGAAGCUGGAUGGCAGUGUUGGCUGUGAGGAGGAUGCAGGGUGACUUGAAUAGGUUAGGUGAGUGGGCAAAUUCAUGGCAGAGGCAAUUUAAUGUGGAUAAAUGUGAAGUUAUCCACUUUGGUGGCAAAAACAGGAAAACAGAUUAUUAUCUGAAUGGUGGCCGAUUAGGAAAAGAGGAGGUGCAAUGGGACCUG